ACCCGAAGUAGGUAUGGUAAGUUCCUCCCUCUUAGCAUUUGUAAAACAGGUAUAAAGAAACUAUUUUCUGAGCAAUUAGAAAGAAACCCAACAAAAGGGGAGUAAAUACAUACUAGCUCCUUGUCUUUGCCUUUAUGGCCUCUCACCACAUAGCCCUGUUCUCUGGGGUAGGGAUUGUCUUCAUUAAUGCUUCUCUGAACAGUGCCUCAUACAAUGGGGCUCUUAUCCUUGGUUGAUAUGCCUAGGCAUUACAGUAAUACAAACAGUGAUCUGAACCAUAGCGUCAAACAUCCUUUCAUUUGUAGUCAGAGGAUAUGUGAUGAGCUGUGUCCUCACCAAACUCCUAGUUUUCUUUUGUCUCCUAGAGCAUAAACUUCUUUGUCGCAGGCAUUAUGGUUUCUUUGGCAUUCUUUUCAGCACUAAGCACAUUUAUUUCUAUACUGUUUUCAUGGGGCAAGAGUACUCCUGGUUCAAGCAGGUACCACUGAGUCAGGACUGCUGGGUUCUACUCUCAGACAGCUAGUGACAUACAAGGUGCCUCAGGCUAUUCACUGACUCUGAACCUCAAUUCUCCCUUCUUUAAAAUUGGUAAGGCUAAUUAGCUUUCUUGUGGGUGUAUUGUGACCUCUAAUUUAUUAAUCCUUAAAGUAAUGAAAUUCUCAGAUGAAAGGUGAGAUCUGGAAUAUUAAUUAGUUGCAAGUUUUUAAAAGAAGUUAGAGGACUAUCAGAAACUCAUUGCUAUUUUUUUUGUUCUCAUUUUUGCUUUUUAUGCAGUGCUCAAAAGAGAGGUACAUCCCACUACCUAUGUCCAGCCUUAUCUGGUAGGCACUGACAUUAUGUGCAGUGGGGUAGAAGCCAUCACCACUACCUCUUGUUUACACUUAAGUGAUUUAACAAGUGUCUUUGCAUUUUUUGAGUGGAGAAAAGGAGAAAUACUUAACUUACAAGUAAACUACAGAUACCAAUCAAAAAGAUCUAACAGAAAAUUCAGACAUGCUUAUUGAUACUGAUCAAAUCACUUUUAUUUAGAUGACCUGCUCUCCACUACACAGAAAUGACCUUAUAUUCCUCAUCCUUUCUGCUCACACUCUUCCACACAAAACAACUGUGGACCAGUUUCAAAGUUAAAAACAAGAUCUAGUUUGUUACAGCAUCUGGUUAACUGAUCACAUCUCAGCCAAACAUAAAUCAACAGCCCUUUGCUUCAUAUGCCAAGUUGCAAUCAUUUCAGUACAUAGGAGGUUCAGAACCAACAUUAGAACUUUUUUUCCCAAUGAGUUACAGAUAAUUGUAAAAACUUAUUCCAAUUUAAAAUUAGAUACUGAAUACAUACCAAGAAUGAACAUCCUUGAUACAUGGAGAGAAAACAAAUUGCAGGCUUCUUUACUCCUAAAUCACAAUAUUUUUAACCUAGUUUCAAGUUAUCAACUUAGCUGUUUGGCAAAAUAACAUAAAAGGUGAGAUGUUUUUAGAUGCAACUUCACAGCAACUGGCAUCUCUCAGGUUUGCUAAACCCUUCAAAAUAUUUACUUUUUUUUUUUUUAAACCAGAGAAAAACUCCCAGAAAUAGCUAAUCAAUGAGGUCUGUGUUGUGCAACCAUUUGAAAGAUUAAAAAGCAGAAAAAGAACAUACAGUGCAGUCACAAUAAAUAAAGAAUAUGGAGACUAUAGUAAGCAUCAUGUUUCCCUGAACUCCUUCCUCAUUGAUCAAACCUUUUAAGGAAAUUAUAGCAAUCAGUUUGCAUGCAUCAUUUUCUUAAUAGUCUCUUGGCUAUCUUAUGAACAUCCCCUCUUCCCAUGCCCCAUGUACAGUAGCUCGCAUUUACAAAAUCUAGCUUUCCAAUCAGAGCUGUGGUGAAUCUAGGGUUCUCCUCCAAGAUUUUAGUAAUGGUUGAGGUAGGAAAGAGGUAAGCCAUCAACUGGUCUCAAAGUGCACCCCGGAAGUGGGGAAGAAAUACAUUCUUAGUAUUUUGAUAUCAAAUCUUAGCUAAGUGUGGGGAAGGUUUUUCGUGGAAAGUGAUGUCAUCAUCUUAGCGCGUUGAA